CUGUCCUUUCUUUGAGGUACCUCAGGUUUGCACUUGAAUUUAUGAGAAUAAAUACCCAUGUGAUUCCUUAGUUUGGUACUGAAAUCCUACCUUUGGAAGAAAAGACGUUACAGCUGUUGAUUCUGUUUCAGAAUGAAUUACGGUGACAAACUGUGUUUUCUGCAUCACUGAUUCUCUUGACUAUUAGAUAUUCAUAUUUACUGUGGAGUUCUUAGGUGGAUUGUCUCACCAUGUAUUUAUGAGCUUUUAAUCCAGGACCUGGUCAGCGUGUGAAUAACUGAGGAUGGCCCCUUGCUAUGCCGGCACAUCAGGAGCCACUGCAGGUGGAGAAGAAGAGUGGAAUUCUGAGAGGCCAUCCAUUCCUUCCUGUGGGCCAUGAGAUGCUGCCAGAAAGAGUGUGUGCUCCUGCUCCAGGCUCGCCUGAGCACCUCCUGAUUUGUGCUGCCUCUUCAGAUCAGGGCCGACGCUCCCAGGCUCCAUGUGUGUG
ensembl:lncRNA